GCAUAUCAAUAAGCGGAGGAAAAGAAACCAACAGGGAUUGCCCUAGUAACGGCGAGUGAAGCGGCAACAGCUCAAAUUUGAAAUCUGGCUCUCUUUGGGGGUCCGAGUUGUAAUUUGCAGAGGAUGCUUUGGCAUUGGCGGCGGUCUAAGUUCCUUGGAACAGGACAUCACAGAGGGUGAGAAUCCCGUACGUGGUCGCCUGCCUUUGCCGUGUAAAGCUCCUUCGACGAGUCGAGUUGUUUGGGAAUGCAGCUCUAAAUGGGAGGUAAAUUUCUUCUAAAGCUAAAUACCGGCCAGAGACCGAUAGCGCACAAGUAGAGUGAUCGAAAGAUGAAAAGUACUUUGGAAAGAGAGUCAAAAAGCACGUGAAAUUGUUGAAAGGGAAGCGCUUGCAGCCAGACUUGCCCGCAGUUGCUCACCUAGGCUUUGGCCUGGGGCACUCUUCUGCGGGCAGGCCAGCAUCAGUUUGGGCGGUUGGAUAAAGGCCUCUGUCACGUAUCUUCCUUCGGGAUGACCUUAUAGGGGAGGCGUAAUGCAACCAGCCCGGACUGAGGUCCGCGCAUCUGCUAGGAUGCUGGCGUAAUGGCUGUAAGCGGCCCGUCUUGAAACACGGACCAAGGAGUCUAACAUCUAUGCGAGUGUUUGGGUGUCAAGCCCGGGCGCGCAAUGAAAGUGAACGGAGGUGGGAACCCUUUGGGUGCACCAUCGACCGAUCCUGAUGUCUUCGGAUGGAUUUGAGUAAGAGCAUAGCUGUUGGGACCCGAAAGAUGGUGAACUAUGCUUGAAUAGGGUGAAGCCAGAGGAAACUCUGGUGGAGGCUCGCAGCGGUUCUGACGUGCAAAUCGAUCGUCAAAUUUGGGCAUAGGGGCGAAAGACUAAUCGAACCAUCUAGUAGCUGGUUCCUGCCGA
rnacentral:rRNA from 1 species